AUACGUAGGGUGCGAGCGUUGUCCGGAAUUACUGGGCGUAAAGAGCUCGUAGGUGGUUUGUCGCGUCGUCUGUGAAAUUCCGGGGCUUAACUCCGGGCGUGCAGGCGAUACGGGCAUAACUUGAGUACUGUAGGGGAGACUGGAAUUCCUGGUGUAGCGGUGAAAUGCGCAGAUAUUAGGAAGAACACCGGUGGCGAAGGCGGGUCUCUGGGCAGUAACUGACGCUGAGGAGCGAAAGCAUGGGUAGCGAACAGGAUUAGAUACCCUGGUAGUCCAUGCCGUAAACGGUGGGCGCUAGGUGUAGGGGUCUUCCACGACUUCUGUGCCGUAGCUAACGCAUUAAGCGCCCCGCCUGGGGAGUACGGCCGCAAGGCUAAAACUUAAAGGAAUUGACGGGG
rnacentral:rRNA from 1 species